rnacentral:rRNA from 1 species
UACGUAGGGGGCAAGCGUUGUCCGGAAUCAUUGGGCGUAAAGCGCGUGUAGGCGGCUCGAUAAGUCUGCUGUGAAAGUCCAGGGCUCAACCCUGGGAUGCCGGUGGAUACUGUCGAGCUCGAGUCCGGAAGAGGCGAGUGGAAUUCCUGGUGUAGCGGUGAAAUGCGCAGAUAUCAGGAGGAACACCAAUGGCGAAGGCAGCUCGCUGGGACGGUACUGACGCUGAGACACGAAAGCGUGGGUAGCAAACAGG